rnacentral:rRNA from 1 species
UGCAAGUCGACGGGCCUUUAGGGGCAAGUGGCGGACGGGUGAGUAACGCGUGAGAAUGUGCCUUGAGGAUGGGGAUAACAAUAGGAAACUAAUGCUAAGACCCAAUAUGCCCUACGGGGUGAAAAAUGAAAAUUGCCUGAAGAGGAGCUCGCGUCUGAUUAGCUAGUUGGGGUGGUAAAAGCGCACCAAGGCGACGAUCAGUAGCUGGUCUGAGAGGAUGAGCAGCCACACUGGGACUGAGACACGGCCCAGACUCCUACGGGAGGCAGCAGUGGGGAAUAUUGGACAAUGGGCGAAAGCCUGAUCCAGCAGCCGCGGUAAUACG